rnacentral:misc_RNA from 1 species
AAGUCGUAACAAGGUCUCCGUUGGUGAACCAGCGGAGGGAUCAUUACCAGAGUGCCCUAGGCUCUCCAACCCAUUGUGAACUUACCAAACGUUCCCUCGGCGGGCUCAGCGCGCGGUGGCCUCCGGGCCUCCGGGCGUCCGCCGGGGACAACCAAACCCUGAUUUAAUCGUAUUUCUCUGAGGGGCGAAAGCCCGAAAACAAAAUGAAUCAAAACUUUCAACAACGGAUCUCUUGGCUCUG